rnacentral:tRNA from 1 species
GCGGGAGGAGCUCGGUCUGGUAGAGCGCCUGGUUUCCAACCAGAAGGUCGGAGGUUCAAAUCCUCCCUCCCGCUCCA